rnacentral:lncRNA from 10 species
AGAGACACACACACACGGACAGAGACGGGAGAGGAGAGAGAGAUGAAGAGAUAGAGAGGAGGAGAGGGAAGGGAGGAUAGGCAGGAGAGAGCCAAAAAGAUAGAGAGUGAAAGGAAGAGAGAGAUAAGAGAGAAGGAAAGAUGAGAGGGAGGAAGAUGGAGAAAGUAGAAGAGCAGGAAACAACAGUUGGAGAGAGAGAAAGAAGGAGAGAGAGAAAGAGAGACACUGAGCCCUGGGGACAGAGGGAAGGACAGCUGGGCUGGAGGCAGGGGGCCUGGGAGCCUGGUCAAGUCAGUCCAUGAGGCUGCUCUGAGACGUCACUGGGGGCAGGGAGAGAGUUAUCCAGAACUUUAGUACAGUCUUCUUUCUAGAAAACAGUGCUACCAGAAAGGGCUUAUGUCCAGAUCUGAGGUGCACUUACUUGUUCCCGAAGAUCCAAAUCUAAGUUGCUUUUAGAUUCUACUCUGUGCUUCCACGGAGUCUACUCUAACGACCUUGGCCAGGUCUCUGGCCUCCAUCAAGGAACGACCAGAAUUCCUGGGUCUGGCCACAGGUUUUGGCCCCGCCUCAGAGGGUUGGGUGAGGGGGCUUAGCAGGUGUAGGAGAGCUUGCUCUGGGCAGUAGCUGUGGGCCUUACUUCUGUAUUUGCCGCAGUAUCUGAUUUGCCCUGUAGAGCAUUUAUGUCACUAGGUUUUUACAAAAGUUGCUUUUUGACUUAUUGCCUUAGUGACGAGUUGUCAGGUUUUUCUCUGUUUAAGUGGCUACAGCUGAAUAGCUCAGGCCAAACUUAAAGCUCACACUUGAGACUUGACGUGCUCAGCUCCUGCUAAAGAGGCUCCAGGGCAGCGCCUGCCUUUCCGGGAAGCUCCCCUGAGGGUCACCGAGGCUGCAGAGAACACCCGGUGAUGACUGCAUGGAUCUCCUUCAUCUGCUGGGAUUCAAGCUGUGUUGCUGUAUUCUGCUCUGCUGGCACUCCCCCAGCCCC